GUAGCAGCAGGCAGAAAUCUCCAGUCACAACUGUGGAGUCCCGAAGUUUUUCUCUGUUGGCUCGGGGCCCUGUGUUGCUGACAUGUACUCAAGAUGGAAGUUUGUCUUUCUUCAGUGUUGCGCUGGAAAUACAAGGUUAUUUGGCUCUUCAUUGCUCACUCAAAUUAACUCCACGAAUAUACAAUAUCCGGGCUCUUCAUGGGUUAUGGAAGCUGCAGUAGUUAUGGCACUUGUCCUUGCUAAUGGGGGAUUUUGUAGAGGAGAAUAAUGCGGGAAAUGCUGCAUCAGCUCUUAUGGAACGUUUAUCUCCAAAGACAAGGAUGAGUUAAAUGCCUCACUAAGCUGCACAUGAGUUAAAUGCAGACGAGUAGACCACCUACCAGAUUUGCAGCAAAGGUUUUUGUUCUUUUUUCUGCAAUAUCUUGUUCCUCAUUGAGAAUGAAGACUAGUUGCUCUUGUAAUAUGCAGCAUAAGUCUAUAUGGGGGUCAAGAAAGAUUUGUGUCUCUGCAAUGGGUCAGCAGGUUUGUGUCUCUGCAAGCUCACUGGCCAUUCCGUUUUCUAUGACCACUUCUAUGAUUUGGGUGAUUCCGUUCAUGAUCAGAUUGUGAAACUAGUACAGCAGUAUAGCUAGCUAGUUCCUUUAUUAACUUGUGUCUAGUAGAAAUUUUUCAUUCAUUAAGCAUUUAGACUUGUCUUCAGAUCCAGAUUAGUAUAUAUGAGUUAUUUUGAACUGAAGUUCAUGAUUAAGUUUGUGUACAUGAGAUACUAGUGGAUUAAUGGAAAUUGCAAUGAAUGAUUUUGAAUGUGGAUUUUAUGGUUU